GGCCUGCCCACUGAGUUAUUAAAGGGCCGCGGUAUUUGGACCGUGCUAAGGUAGCAUAAUCAAUAGUCUUUUAAUUGGAGUCUAGAAUGAAAGGUCGGAUGGAGUAUAAUUUGUCUGCGAGUAUAAAAGUUGAACUUUACUUUUAAGUGAGAAGGCUUAAAUUAGUUAGUGGGACGAUAAGACCCUGUGAAGCUUUAUAUUUGUUUAACUUUAAUUUUUAAUAUUUAUGUGUUUAAAUUUAAAAUUAACAGAUAUUGUGUUGGGGCGACCAGAAUAUAUUUUUAACUGUUCUUGUUUGGCAAAUAAAUGAUUUUUAGAGAGUUGAUCCUUUAUUAAGGAUUAUAAGAUUUAAGUUACUCCAGGGAUAACAGCGUAAUUCUUUUUGAGAGUUCUUAUCGACAAAAGUAUUUGCGACCUCGAUGUUGAAUUAAGGUUUCAUUAAGAUGCAGGUGUCUUAA
rnacentral:rRNA from 1 species